UACGAAGGGGGCUAGCGUUGUUCGGAAUUACUGGGCGUAAAGCGCGCGCAGGCGGUCCUUCAAGUCAGAGGUGAAAGCCCAGAGCUCAACUCUGGAACGGCCUUUGAGACUAGAGGACUUGGGUACGGGAGAGGUGAGUGGAAUUCCGAGUGUAGAGGUGAAAUUCGUAGAUAUUCGGAAGAACACCAGUGGCGAAGGCGGCUCACUGGCCCGUUACCGACGCUCAGGCGCGACAGCG
rnacentral:rRNA from 1 species